rnacentral:rRNA from 1 species
GAUAAACGCUGGCGGCGUGCAUGAGACAUGCAAGUCGAACGGACGACCCCGGGCUUGCCUGGGGAAGUUAGUGGCGGACGGCUGAGUAACGCGUGGGUGACCUGCCCGGAAGUGGGGAAUAACUGCCCGAAAGGGUGGCUAAUACCGCAUGUGGUCACACGUUCAUUCGUGUGAUCAAAGCAGCAAUGCGCUACCGGAGGGGCCUGCGUUCGAUUAGCUCGUUGGUGAGGUAACGGCUCACCAAGGCGACGAUCGAUAGGUGGUCUGAGAGGACGAUCACCCAGACUGGGACUGAGACACGGCCCAGACUCCUACGGGAGGCAGCAGUCGGGAAUUUUGCUCAAUGGGCGCAAGCCUGAAGCAGCAACGCCGCGUGAGGGAUGAAGGCCUUCGGGUUGUAAACCUCUUUUCUCAGGGACGAUAAUGACGGUACCUGAGGAAUAAGCCACGGCUAACUACGUGCCAGCAGCCGCGGUAA